AAGGAGUGUUAUUGACAGAGAAUCAAUUGCGACGCAAAUUUAGUAAUGUGCCUGGUGGCUUUGCCCAGGUCUAUCCUGUUUCCAUGGCAAAGGAGAUGAUGCCCUUUGUGGAAACCGCUGACGCACGUGUUGCUCUCCAGAGAUUGCGAAGGCGACCAGUGGUUCUAGUGCUAAAGGGUUGCAACCAAACCUUUCAGAAAUGAUAUAUAGAUUCUAGAACGGACCGAGGAACCAUGUGAACUCGACCACUACUGUGUGAUUCCCGAGACAGAGUUCGAGCAGCUACUGGUCGACCAAGUGAGGAUGAUGUUGCGGUCGAUGAUGGCAGGAUCAGCGUCUUGGGAUACGACACCACGUCAGUCGCUCUUGUUCCACGUCUUGAUGACGGUGACAGCCUCAAGUUUCCCACCACGCUCUGGUCGAUUCUCGAUAACAAGCUCCCAGACGGCUCCUGGGGAGACGCUGCCCUGUUCCCCGCCUAUGACCGGGUCACCAACACCCUUACCUGUGUCGUGGCUCUCAUAAAGUGGUCUCUUGGCCAUGGUAAAUGCAGGAGAGGAUUGCAAAUGUAGCUUGUCUCCGACGAUGGGGCCGAGAACCGCAGGCUACGUACCCUAUGCAUCGCUGCUUUGACUGACCUAUCUCCCUGCGUCGGCAACCGCUUCUCUGAUGGAUGGGUUCAUCACAGGGACUCGUCAUGGCGCGCUUCAUCAACACCAAGAGGAGACCCCUUCAUCUUCAUGGCCGGCCCUCAAGCAAAGCAAAGGGAGGGGAUCGAAAUCGUCCAUGGACGGACGCGCUGAUGGGGA